rnacentral:rRNA from 1 species
UACGUAGAAGACUAGUGUUAUUCAUCUUUAGUAGGUUUAAAGGGUACCUAGACGGUAUAAUUAGUCUUAAAUAGGAUACGGUUAUACUAGAGUUAUAUACGAGGAGUGAGUAUUUAUGGAGUAGAGUUGAAAUUCUUUGAUACCAUAACGACUGAUAACGGCGAAAAGCAACCUUUUUUAUCUAAUAACUGACGUUGAGGGACGAGGGCUCGGGUAACGAACAGGA